rnacentral:misc_RNA from 1 species
AUGANGGCCACAAUAACUAUAGGCAUA